rnacentral:rRNA from 1 species
UACGUAGGUGGCAAGCGUUGUCCGGAUUUACUGGGCGUAAAGAGCGCGCAGGCGGCUGGUCAAGUCCGAUGUGAAAUCUCCCGGCUUAACUGGGAAACUGCAUCGGAAACUGAACGGCUUGAAGGUGGGAGAGGGUAGUGGAAUUCCCGGUGUAGUGGUGAAAUGCGUAGAUAUCGGGAGGAACACCAGUGGCGAAGGCGACUACCUGGCCCAUUCUUGACGCUGAGGCGCGAAAGCUAGGGGAGCGAACGGG